GUGCCAGCAGCCGCGGUAAUACGUAGGGUGCGAGCGUUAAUCGGAAUUACUGGGCGUAAAGCGUGCGCAGGCGGUUUGGCAAGUCAGAUGUGAAAUCCCCGAGCUCAACUUGGGAACUGCGUUUGAAACUGCCAGACUAGAAUGUGUCAGAGGGGGGUAGAAUUCCACGUGUAGCAGUGAAAUGCGUAGAGAUGUGGAGGAAUACCAAUGGCGAAGGCAGCCCCCUGGGAUAAUAUUGACGCUCAUGCACGAAAGCGUGGGGAGCAAACAGGAUUAGAUACCCUGGUAGUCC
rnacentral:rRNA from 1 species